ACAUAGGAGCGGGGCAUGAAUGGCUA
rnacentral:piRNA from 1 species